CCUACGGGUGGCAGCAGUGAGGAAUAUUGGUCAAUGGGCGAGAGCCUGAACCAGCCAAGUCGCGUGAGGGAGUACUGCCCUAUGGGUUGUAAACCUCUUUUGUCGGGGAGCAAAAGCCGGACGUGUCCGGCUGUGAGAGUACCCGAAGAAAAAGCAUCGGCUAACUCCGUGCCAGCAGCCGCGGUAAUACGGAGGAUGCGAGCGUUAUCCGGAUUUAUUGGGUUUAAAGGGUGCGCAGGCGGAUUUUUAAGUCAGCGGUCAAAUCGUGGGGCUCAACCCCAUCCAGCCGUUGAUACUGUGGAUCUAGAGUGUGCGAGAGGUAUGCGGAAUGCGUGGUGUAGCGGUGAAAUGCAUAGAUAUCACGCAGAACCCCGAUUGCGAAGGCGGCUUACUGGACUGUAACUGACGUUGAGGCUCGAAAGCGUGGGGAGCAAACAGGAUUAGAUACCCCGGUAGUC
rnacentral:rRNA from 1 species